rnacentral:rRNA from 1 species
CAAAAGCCACUUGCUUCCUUGAUGCUUCUCAUCUCUUGGGAAUUGUGGAAAGAGAGGAAUGCACGGAUCUUCCGUAACGAGGCCGUUCCAAUGGGUGUCAUUGUCACUAGGAUUAAAGAGGAAACCUCGCUUUGGAGCAUUGCGGGGGCGAAGCACUUGAGUAAUGUAAUGUCGCGAGAAUGA